rnacentral:rRNA from 1 species
UACGAGUGCCCCAAGCGUUAUCCGGAAUCAUUGGGCGUAAAGGGUGUGUAGGCGGUUGUGUUAGUCUUCUGUUAAAUUCUUCGGCUUAACCGGGGGCAUGCAGGGGAAACGGCACAACUAGAGGAUGCGAGAGGUGAAUGGAACUCAUGGUGUAGGGGUGAAAUCCGUUGAUAUCAUGGGGAACACCGAAUGCGAAGGCAAUUCACUGGCGCACUCCUGACGCUGAGACACGAAAGCGUAGGUAGCGAAUGGG